UUGUUUCUUUACAAACCAUAAACCAUUUGUUACAAUACUUCAUUCCACCACACAAUCCCAUUCAAGUCAAUUUACACAUGUUUCAAUUACAAUUUCAAUUCAAACACUUCAUCCAAACCAAGUCAUUCCUAAAAUAAUGUUCACAUUCUAUAUAAUCCCAUUUCAAUUUAUCGUAUCUACCUUAUUCAACUCUCCACUUUCAUUUCUAUUUUUAUUUCCUUUCACGUGAUUUCAUCAUAAGCCAUAAAUCAACCAAUCCAAUAACA
rnacentral:lncRNA from 1 species